rnacentral:sRNA from 1 species
GGUUUGUUUACCGUAAAUCUAUUGAACAUUGUAUUUCAUAACUUCUAUGUGUGCUUUAUACUCUUGGAUAUUGGUAGAUUGUAAUAAUUUGCAUCUUCUCUGUCCUUGUGUAUAAGAUUCAAAAUAAAGUUGUUCUGUUGC